rnacentral:rRNA from 1 species
GACGAACGCAGGCGGCGUGCUUAACACAUGCAAGUCGAACGGAAAGGCCCCGCUUUUGUGGGGUGCUCGAGUGGCGAACGGGUGAGUAACACGUGAGUAACCUGCCCUUGACUUUGGGAUAACUUCAGGAAACUGGGGCUAAUACCGGAUAGGAGCUCCUGCUGCAUGGUGGGGGUUGGAAAGUUUCGGCGGUUGGGGAUGGACUCGCGGCUUAUCAGCUUGUUGGUGGGGUAGUGGCUUACCAAGGCUUUGACGGGUAGCCGGCCUGAGAGGGUGACCGGCUACAUUGGGACUGAGAUACGGCCCAGACUCCUACGGGAGGCAGCAGUGGGGAAUAUUGCACAAUGGGCGGAAGCCUGAUGCAGCAACGCCGCGUGCGGGAUGACGGCCUUCGGGUUGUAAACCGCUUUCGCCUGUGACGAAGCGUGAGUGACGGUAAUGGGUAAAGAAGCACCGGCUAACUACGUG